GGUGCCAUAGCUCAGUUGGUAGAGCAUCGGACUGAAAAUCCGUGUGUCACUGGUUCGAAUCCCGUUGGCACCACCA
rnacentral:tRNA from 2 species